rnacentral:lncRNA from 1 species
AGAAGGGGGGGUUGGGGGGGGGGGUUGUACAAAUUAUUGGCCAAGGUGUUGGUCAAUAGACUCGAGAAAGUGAUAGGGAAAGUGGUCUCCAUUGAUCAGAAUGCAUUUGUAAUGGGCAGGCAGAUCCUUGACGCCUCUUUAAUUGCAAAUGAGGUAAUUGAUGCAUGGCAAAAAAGGGAAGAGAAAUAUAGAGAAAACCUACGACAGCUUAAAUUGGCAGUUUUUGAUGAAAGUCAUGAGAAAAAUGGGGUUUGGAUCAAAGUGGUUGGGUUGGAUGUGGAGUUGCAUAUCCACAACCAAAUUUUUGGUGUUGGUGAAUGGAGUGCCAACCGGUUUCUUCCCAAAGUUCUAAGGGGUUGAGGCAAGGAGAUCCCCUUUCUCCUUACCUCUUUGUAAUGGGAAUGGAAGUGUUGAGCAAUCUCAUUAGGAGGGCUGUUGAAGGGGGAUUUCUGUUAGGGUGUAGGAUCCAAGGAGGAGGAAGACAGCCGGUGCAUAUAUCCCAUCUGUUAUUUGCUGAUGAUACAAUAGUUUUUUGUGAGGCUAGGAAAGAGCAUCUAACUCAUCUGAGUUGGAUUUUGUUUUGGUUUGAAGCCGCGUCAGGGUUAAGGAUCAAUUUGGAUAAAAGUGAAAUAAUCCCAGUUGGCGAGGUGGAAGAGAUGGAGGAGAUGGUAGCGUAAUUGGGCUGCAAGGUGGGUUCUAUGCCUUUUGUGUAUUUGGGGCUGCCCUUGGGGGCUCCUAAUAAGAAUACCUCCAUGUGGGAUGGGGUGGAAGAGAAGAUGAGGAGAAGACUUGCGUGUUGGAAACGCGAAUAUAUUUCCAAAGGCGGGAGACUCAUUCUCAUUAAGAGCACGAUGGCUAGUAUGCCAUUGUAUCAAAUGUCUCUUUUCCGUAUGCCCAAGUCUGUUGCGCGGAGGUUAGAAAAAUUGCAAAGNNNNNNNNNNNNNNNNNNNNNNNNNNNNNNNNNNNNNNNNNNNNNNNNNNNNNNNNNNNNNNNNNNNNNNNNNNNNNNNNNNNNNNNNNNNNNNNNNNNNCGCUAAUGGGGAUGUGAGGGGGGAAAACCCAUCGGCCCGGGGGUUUUUUUAUGGCGCUUUGGGACAAAGGUGGGGGUCUAUAUAAAAAGGGGGUGUUGGAGUUUUUUAAAAGGGUUUAUGAGCAAAAAGCCCUCUUCAAGAGCGUCAACAAAACACUUCUCGUAUAGUUACCCCCAAAAAGGGGGGGGGGGGGGGGGGGGUGAUAGCUAUUCAGAAAUUAAAAAAUUCUUCUGUUUGUAAUUUAUGGUGUUGGGCGAGACUGUAUAGUGGAGAGAGUUCGCUGUCUCUUAUAGGCUUCUUGGAGUGGAUAGCCUCCAGAUAAGGGCUGGUGGGGUUUUUUUGCUUUCCUUUUGGUUGUGAGGCUUAGCUAGUUUGUAUACUCCCUAUAUACGUUGUGGCUUUCUGGCCUCUUUUCAAUAUAUUUUUUGGUUGGAGCCUCUUUUCAAUAUAUUCAGCGCUUAUCUAUAAAAAAAAAUCUCAUUAAAACUAUAAGGUUCAAUAUUUGUAGAUGGAUGAUACUGAUUGACCAUAUUUACCUCUUUUAACCUUUCCAUUGUUUCAUGAAAUUGGAUUUGGUUAUUCGUUUUAAUACUUUAUUCUUGCAUAUAGGCAUGUUCAAUGUAUGAUUUUGUGUACUUUGUACUUUUUUUUUUUUUUUUUAAAUGUGUAUGUAUAUACUUUCUACAUGUUUUUCAAGAUUUAAAAGAACUUAGGAGACAUGAUACUGAAUAGGAAAAGGUAUAUGGUCUGCAAAUAUUAGUUGAAAUCCAUGAAUAAUAUCCUUGAUUUCUUAAAAAACAAAGUAUGAUUGUGGUUGAUGAUGUAGCAAUAGGGAAGAAAGAAUUGCAAGGCAAAAUGUUUAAUUAAAUUUGAGUUAAAAGUGGGAGCUACUAAUGGGAUGGUCAUUGGUUUCAUCUUUUGUGGUUACUUAGUCUACUGCUGCAAUGAAACACAGUUUUUUUUUUUUUGAUAAAUAAGCACAAAAUAUAUUAAGGGGCAAAAAGCCACAAAACAUACAGGGAGUAUACAUAGCAGCCUAAACCAAAAAACACAAAAAACAAACAACCUCACCAGCCCUUAAGUAGCUGCUAGCCACUCUAAAAAGCCUAAAAGCGACGAGGACUCCUCUCCGCAAUGAAACACAGUUUUUAUGCUACUCAUAUUGGAAUUGUUACAUGUCUCCAUUUAUGAAUUGGAUGUAUUUGACAUCUAUGCAGGAAGAAGCAUUUUUCUUUUAUGAUAAACAAUUGUAUUAGAAGCAACUGAUAAGAAAACAGGGUCAACACCUCCUUUAAUGAAUUUUAUUAUUGCCUUAUAAAAAAAAAAAUCCAAGAAAACAGGGUCAACAGCCAGGUAUACUAAUGACAAAAGAAGAUAAUUACUCCCUGGAAUACCAAUGACACAAUGAAAAUAAUUGCAAUUUACGCUAAGGGAGUUUAGAAAACCCCGUAGAAGAAGUCAAACCCUACAUCCUCUGCGACCCUUUACAAAAAUGGGUAUUUGCUAUACAGACUUUCUGCUAGAUUGCUUUCACCCUCAAUUAUCUGAAGAUUCUCCUGGUUCUUUUCUUCUAAAUAUUCUGGAGAUUCCAUGUGCAUCCCUUCUUCAAACACAACCAAAUUUUUUAGGGAUGACUUCUCAUCUCCAACCCAAAAGAAACUUCAUUUUUUGACAUAGGCAUAAUCCACUGGAUCCUCAAAUCUCAGUGGAAUUUUUUUGGAGUGGAGUGUUCUUAGCUGCUUUACAAAACAACAAUCUUCUCAAGUCUCAGUUUUUAUGAUUGAGGAAUUCAUUGGUGGAUGGGGAAUUUGUCGCUUCUAAUUUUAUUGAUAGAUUGGGGAUAGGGUUAGCCCUUCUUAGUGUCUGUGGUUUUUUUUUCUUGUUUGUUAUUUCUUUCUUUCUUUCUUUCUUUCUUUUUGUUUUGGUUUCUUAGUGUACUUCCUAUGUCCUCUGUUGCUAGGCUCUUUCUAUUUAUUUAUUGUUCUUUCAUUUUGUUUUGGUUUCUUCACAUACUUCCUGUGUCUUUGCUAGGUGCUUUCUAUUUAUUUAUUUAUAAGAAUCUUCUAUUUAUUUUUUAUGGGAAUCUUUUGUUCAUUUAUGAUAUUCUUCUUAUUUGCCUAUAUAAAAAGAAAUCUUUCAAAGCAAAAUUGUGAUGUAGAAAAAGGUGAUUGGUCAAUUCUGCUGCAUUCUUAUGCAUGAUACACCAAUCAAGAAUAACUCAAUCCUACUUAUUAAAUGUUGCAAACUCAAAACUCUUUUCCAAAGUCCCCAUGUAAUAAAAGUGACUGUCAAAGGCAUUUCGAUGCCUUUUUAGUGGGAAAACCUCCCGCAGCACCAUGGGUUAGCAUCUCAAUAUUAGAUCUUGCUGUAACCUACCAUUUGUACUAACAGGUUUAACUUCUCUAACUUCUAAUCCCUUCAAUUUAACCUAGAUCAAGCUUUGGAUGCAAAUUGAUCUUUGCUGCCAAUGGUGGAACCUUUCAUUCAAUAGAUCCAAUGGACUAGAGGGAGUGCUUCAAGGAAGUAUAUUAAGUGCUGGCAUCUCUAACAAAUAGAUGUUAUAUGUGCCAUGAGAAUGAAGAGACCAUAGAUUACCUCCUUAUUCAUUGUGUUAAAGCAAGGGUUUUAUGGGAGUUGCUCUUUAUUAUGUUAGGGGUGUCUUGGGUGCUUCCUUCGUUGGUCAGACUGACCCUACUAGGUUGGCAUGAUUCUUUGUGGACAAAAAGCACAAGAUGGUGUGGAGUCUGGCUCCCUUGCACAUCUUUUGGGCGGUGUGGAAGGCAAAGAAUAAAAUGACCUUCAAUGAUGACAUGUUUUCGAUCUAGAGACUAAAAAGUUUUUUUGUAUACUUCCUUUGGUCAGAGAACAAAGUUGUUUAUAGAUGAUUAUCCUUUGACCUUAAUUAGUUUUGUUGAUUGGUUGAGUUCUUGUUGAGGUUGUUUUAGCCCCUUUUGUUUGGUUGUUCAUUUUCCUCUUUAUGUUGCUUUGGCCGUGGGUGUAUAAGUAUUGUAUACCUUGAGUAGCCCUUUUGGCGUCUCUUCUUAAUAUAUCUUCUCCUUUAUCUAUAAAAUAAUAAAUAAAAAAAAUACAAUAAACACAAACAUUGGUGUUUAGUGUUGAUGUGAACUUGGGUUGCCUUACAUGAUGACUCCCAAAAUGCAAAACUUGGGAACAUGUCUGCUUGUGCGUGCAUGCGUGCCCAUACACACUUAUGAAUUCAAAGUCAGUGUAAAAUCUAGUACGUGGUAAAUUUUCACAUAGUAAGAAACUGGAAGAAUGCAGUAUCCAACUAGAAGCAUUCACAUUUUCCUUGCAUAAUGCAAAAGGUAAAUAAUGCUAUCAACAUAUAGAAUGAAGGUUUUUUUAAACUUUUUAUUUUUAUUUUUUUAUCAGAAACCCAAUAGAUCUUUCUAUUAAUUGAAAAGAACAAAAUAUAGAGUGAAGAUUCUCUACACCAGAAAUAACCAAACAGUGAGAGGUCAAAGCCAAAUAGGUGCACUCAUUUUUUUAUCUCCAUAUUUAGAUAUUUGAUGGGUGCUGCUGGAAAGGGUUCAUGUUUAAACUGUAAGAUGGUGGUUUUUUAUGUUCAUUUAUAGGUAGUCACAAUAAUGGGACAUAUGCUUUUGGGCCCUCAAUUUUAUGGAUUGUAAACUUGUGGUAUGGUGGAGUUGGGAGAAAAUGUUGUUGCUAAUGUAGGAUCAAGUGCUAUUGUUAUUGUUAGCUUCUGAGAUAUGAUCUGGGCAAGUCUCUCUUAAAAGGGAUAGUGGAUAUCCUAGGAGAAUUUGUGAUAGUUAAGCUGAUAAAUGGAUUGCUAAUAACUCUGAUUUAAUGAAUCAAUGAAGCUUGAAGCUUGUGAACAAAGACCUAUGACAUGACCAUUUUUUGUGGUAAAUUUCUCCACUUCUCAUAAAAAUAGUUCUCAUUGGCUAAGGAGGAUCUACUAAGGGUGUUCUCAGAGUUCCAUAAUAGUGGGGUCAUCAACCAAAGCAUAAAUGCAACUAUCAUUAACCUAGUGCCAAAAAAAGACAAACCAACAAAAUUUCUGAUUUCAAACUUAAAAGCCUGGUCACGAGUUUGUACAAGAUCAUUUCUAAGGUCUUAUCAAGGUGAAUCCGAAGAGUUAUUCCAUGAAACCAUACACUUCUUCAAAAGAGCUUUUGUUGAGGGUUGACAAAUUUUGGAUGCAGUUAUGAUUGCCAAUGAGGUGGUGGUGGAUGAGAAAAGACGUUCAAGAAGGGAUUUGGUAGUCUUCAAAAUAUAUUCUACGAAGGCUUUAUGAUCAUAUGGAUUGGGGUUUUCUAGACCAUGUAUUAGAGUAAAAAGGGUUUAGUACAAGAUGGAGGUCUUGGAUGAAGGAUGUUUGUCCUCAACAAGCUUUACGGUCUUGGUGAAUGUAAAUGCCAAAGGAUGGAUUAAAGUAACUAGAGGUUUAAGACAAGGGGAUCCUCCUUCCUUUUUCUUUUUUAUUUUAGUAGCAGAUGUUUUAAGUUAGAUGAUGCUAAAAGCUAAGGAGAGUGGUCUUGUAGAGGGAUUCCUAGUGGGUAGGGAUAAGAUUAGAGUUUUUGAUUUACAAUUUGCAGUUGAUACCAUCUUUUUCUCUAGAGCUUUUAUAGAAGAUCUACAAAACCUUAAACUAAUCCUUUUGGUUUAUGGAAAAUUAUCAGGGCUAAAUAUUAAUUUAGACAAGAGCACUUUAUCUGGAAUUAACACAAGUCAAGAUUUGAUUAUUAGAUUUGCUUUAAUGCUCGAAUGCAAAGUUUCAGAUUGCCCUUUAACUUAGGUCUUCCAUUAGGGGGGAAUCCAAAGGUAGUUGCGUUUUGGGACCCAGUGAUUGACGGGUUUCGAGGAGGUUGCAUGGAUGGAAAAAGGCCUUGUUGUCUCUAAGAGGUAGAAUUACUCUAAUUCAAACUUGUUUGUCCCACAACCUUAACUGCUUCUUUAUCUUUCUUCCAUAUCCUAGUCUCAGUAGCGUAUAAGAUUGAGAAAUUGGAAAGAGAUUUCUUUGAUCAAGAGUUGGGGAGAGUAGAAAAGAUCUUCUCAUCAAUUGAGACUUAAGUGUGUAAGCCUAAGGAGUAUGGUGGUUUGGGUUUUGGGUUGAUCUCUAUGAGGAAUCGUGCUAUCUUAAGGAAAUGGCUUUGGAGGUUCCAAGGGAAAGUUCUAACCUUUGGCAUAAGUUUAUUUUGAACAUUUUUGGGGCACAUCCUAAUGGAUGGGACGCCAACAUUAUAGACAAAUGAUCACAUAGGUGUCCUUGGAAGGCCAUUGCAUUGGUGUUCUAGGUUUUUUUCAAGUUACACUUGUUUUUUGAGCGAUGGGGGUGAAAAUUCGCUUUUGGAAAGAUUUGUGGUGGGGAGAUCAUCCUUUGUGUCCAUAGUUUUCAUGUUUUUAUAGAGUUGUCACAAUAAAAAAUCUUACUAUUUCAACUAUCCUUGGUCAUUUUUCUUCAUUUUCUUGGAGUCUUAAUUUUCGUCGCAACCUUACGGAUUCAUAGAUUGAGGAUUUUGAAAGACUCAUGUUGUCCCUUACUUGUAUGCACUUGUCUUCAUCCACCUUAGAUGCGAGAGUAUGAUCAUUGACCUCUUCAAGAUCAUUCAUAGUCAAAUCUUUCUUUAUGGCUUUGUCCGAUACUUGAAAUUUUGAUAUUUUCUCUUUAGCCAAAUUUAUAUAAAAUUCUAAAGUUAAUGUCUUUGGUUGGUUAGUAAAUCAUAAGAAGGUAAGUACAAACGACAUGUUAUAGUUGAGAAGAACUUUCAAAUCUCUUAGGCUUGAUUGGUGUGUUUUAUGCAAGCGGAGUGGAGAGUCUAUUGAUCAUCUCUUUUUGCAUUGUCUAGUGACUUUGAGGCUUUGGCACCAUUUAUUAAGAUAAGUUAGGAUUGAUUGGGUUCCACUCAGGAGUAUAUGCGAUAUAAUGAUCAUUUCAUAUAGGGAUUCAGGGAGCUCCAGUAGAGGCAAGAUCCUUUGGCAAAUAGCUUGUCACACAUUGCUUUGGAUUGUGUGGUGAGAUAGAGAUUGCAGAAUCUUUGAGGAUAAGGGAGGGACAAUAAAGGGGUUAUGGGAUUUACUUCACUUCUAUUCCACUUUUGGGGCCUUUUGCGCCAAGGCUUUUAAAGGCAUCCUUUUUAAGAGUUAUCCAACUAUAUUGGCUUGUGGUGUGUAAUUUGAAAGGGUGAGGGGAUCCUUGAGAGGAAUGACAUUUGUAGCCUAAAUCUUUUGUAUGGACUCCUUGUAUGGUAGAGGAGGUCAACCAUAUUAUUAUUAGUUUUUUUGUAAUCGUAGGGACGACUCCUUAUCCUUCUCUUGUUUUCAUUAAUAUAAAUAUAUGCAUCUCCUAUUUCUGAUAACAAUAAAAAAGGAGCAAUUGGCAGCUAAUGUGGAAAAACUUCACACCAGUUUUGUUUUGUGGUGCUUAAUAUAUGCUAUGGAGAAGGGGUUGGGAUGGGCAUGUGGGAGGUUCUUGGUUCAAGUCGCAUUAGGGACCAAAAGAAUAAAUUGCAUAUUUGAACAAAAAAAGGUACCUGCGCUAGAGUAAUUCAAGCUAUCAUAAUUAUUUGAUUCCAUAAUUUUGCACAUUAAACUUGCUUGGACUACAUUAUAAUGUUUUGAUUGUUGAUUCAUUUGUUUUUAUACUUUGGUUAAUGUUGUUUAGAAGAGAAGCGAAGAACUUGCUCAUGCAUCUGGAGAAAAUGCGGAGGCUGCUACCAAUCUUGGUAAUAAAGUUGGAUCUAAAGGAACUAAUACCAUGGCACUUCAAUUCUCUGCUGCAAGUAGUGGCAGUAUGGUUUACACUGAUGAAUUUGACACUUCCGUGGCAACUCUUAACCUGGUAUGUUCACUUGGAUUUUUGUGUAGUUUCUUUGAAGUGCAAGAAUUUUAAGUUGAAUUUUCUAGGGAUCAUUUCAUGUAUGGGCUGUUUGGAUUGACACUAAAAAUCAAACUUGAUCAUAUACAGGCAAUUGUCUGGUUCCAUCUUCAUGAAUAUGGAAAGGCACUGUCAGUUUUGGAAUCACUAUAUCAAAAUAUUGAACCCAUAGAUGAGGUAUAGUAAAUGUUACUCUUAAUUUGUUUUGAUGUUUAUGAUCCUGUGUUAAUUGUUUAGCUGUUUAUCUAUCUGCAGACAACAGCUCUUCAUAUUUGCCUUUUGUUGCUGGAUGUUGCGUUAGCAUCUCAUGAUGUAUCAAGAUGUGCGGUGAGUUCAACUUUUAGGAGUGUCACUUGUUCCUUCUGUUUAUAAUUUAUUUGGCAUCAGGAAUUCUUUAUGCAUUUGCUUAAAAUGUUAAUGGUGGUUCACGUUUUAUGCAUUGAAGUCCUUAUGCCAUUUUUCAUGCCUUCAAACCGUUGGUGGUGAUGUACUGAGAAUGACAUAUUCUCAAUAUACAGCAAUCAAACAAAGGAAUUGCAUCUUUUGGGUGGUAAUUUUGUUAUUUUUCCUAGGAGAUAGGGGAGUAGAUUUACCUUCAGAUAGUGGUAUCUGGUGAUAUGCUAUCUGCAUUGAACAAUUAAACAUAGUAGGUUUUCAUGUCAAAAUAUCGUACUCAGUAAUCCAAACAUUUUAUCAUUGUGAGAGAGCGGAAACUGAAAAUUUUACAAAUGAUGUGAAGAUAUCUGUGGAUUGUUUGACUCUUGAAAGGAGUUUGGCAUGUGAAUUUUGGCUGCCCAUAGAUCCCUUAGAGAGGAUAAGGCUCCAUGCUAGGAUGAAUUUUUCAUGAUCUUUUGGCAGCAUAAUUAAGAAAUAACCAAAGAGGAUAUUAUUUCUUUCUGUUUUUUUUUUUAUUCUUUUCUUUCUGAUAAUCGAGGAAACCUUCCAUAGGCAAGCCCUUAGGACUCUCCAUGGGGACCCAAAGCUCGAGGUGCUAAUCGCUUCGCAACAACCAACAUCGGGUAAAUUCAGGGUAUCAUUUGUGACAGGAUUUGAAUCUAAGACCAUGUGCCACUUAUUGGGACCACACUUCUUAGUGUUCACUCUGAUCAAUUGGGCUAUCCCGACGGGUAGGAUAUUAUUUAUUUUUCUUAUGGAGCUUCACUCUUUUGAGUGAAGCUUAAUCGUACAUUCUUAAUUUUGGUUCCCAAAAAGGGAUAGCUAAUGCUACAAGGGAUUUUUAAGCCUCUUGACCUUGGGGUUAGUGAGGGAGGGAGGGAGGGAGGCUCGUGCCCAAUGUUUCAAUCUUUGAAUUGGAAAUCGGUUUACAAUUUAAUGGUCGGACCAUUGGUUGAACCAUAGUCAAACCAAUGAUGUCAUAAAUAUAUAAUUUAUAUAUUAUUAAAAAUAAAAAUAAUUAUACAAAAUUAGAAAAUAUAUAAGUAAUUAAAAAUUUUAUAUAGAUUUCAUCAUUAAUAUUGUUAACUUUGGUAUAAGUUAUUCACGAUGGCUAAUAUGGAUUGGGUUUCCUUUAGGAGUAUUGGAGGUAUGAUGGUUAUUUCAUUUAGAGGAUUGGGGAAUUCAAUCAGAGGCCAAACUCUUUGGCAUAUUGCUUGCCUCACUGUAUCGUGGAUUGUGUGGUAAGAGCGAAAUGUUAGGAUUUUUUAGGAUAAAGUAUAGAACAAAAGGGAUGUUGUGGGAUCUUCUUCACUUCUACCCUCCUUUUGGGCCUCUUGUAUUAUCGCUUUUAGAGGAAUCCCAGUUAAUGUUAUUAACUAAGUUGGACAUCAGUUUUCAAAAAGGAUGGAUAACGUUUGAUUGAGUUUGAUUUUGAUUUCUUGUGAUAUUUUGUACAUAUCUUCAUCUGUAGUUAUAAGUGUAUAGUGGAGGAGUAUAGUCUUACUUUGAUCAGGUUUUGUAUUUUGUAGGGAGAACCUCUCAUCCUUCUCUUAAACUUUACUAUUCUUAUCAAUAUAUAUUUCGUUUUUGAUUAAAAAAGAAAAAUAUUGAUAGCUGAGAUAAGGAUAACACAAAAAUUUAUUAAAUUAUUAUUAUUUUUAAUUUUAUUAUGUAACUUCUAAAUAUUAAGAUAAAAUGAGAUUCUAUUGUUUAAAUUAAUUUGAAUUUCUAUAGCUAUAUAUUUUAUCAUCUUUAAAGUUAUUAACUGUUUUAUUUAUAUUAUUUUGAUAUUUAUAAUAGAUAAAUCAUAAAUAAUCCCACAGUGGGUUGCUCCUAAGUGGAUUUUUGGAGUGAUGAAUAUUUGUGAGAGUUUGAGGCUAUGUUACAUGGGUUCAUGUACAAAUGUCAGGUGUGGGUACGUGUCUAGGUGUCAAAUCCUUUUGGAUCCCAAAAUCUUAAGACGAAGAGAUUCAACUAAAAAAGAUUUCAACUAUGGGUGUAGGUACUUGAAUCCAACAUUAAUGAAAAAUAAAUUAACACUAAAUAUAAACAUGGUAAGAUAAGUAUAAGUUAUCUAUUGUACUACAUGGUUAAUUAUAGUUACUAAAUAUAUUUAUUAUAUCGUUUCUAUUUUAAUAAGGUACCAAGUGUUGUUUUAUUGUGAUGUUACCACUAAUUAUACAAAAAGAAUCUAUUAAUUAUAGGCCUUUUAAUUUAGUGGGAUGCUGAGAAAAGUAAUUAAGAAAAUAUUGUAUCAUAUUAUUCGUAAACCUUGAUUAGUUUAGAACUUUAAAAAAUUAUACUAAAUGUUAGUAAAAUAUAAUUCAUAUUUAAUUUAUUAUCAUAUGAAAAUUUUGACUUUUUUUUUAUAAUAAUUACUAUAAUUUAUCUUUGUAUUUUUUAAGAUAUUAAUUUUGAUAUUUAUAUUUAGAUUUUUUAUGCUAGUAAUUAUUAUAUUUAUCUUGAAAUUUUGUCUAUUAUAAUUUCAAAAAAAUAAAAAUAAAUAAAUAAAGCAUUUCUUUAGUUACACAAGUUAGAAAUUACUUCAAAAAUUCUUUAUUUUUUAUUGCAAUUUUUUUCAUGCUAUUAUUUGAUAUAAUUUAAAAAAAAAAAAAAGAGAAAGGGAAAAAUAGUUGUAUCUAAUACAACAUCUGAUGUAAGUAUAAUUUAAAAAAAAAAAAUUAAAGAAAGAGAUAAAACACUGAUAAGCUAAAGAGCUAUAUUUGAUGUCAUAUAAGUGUAUCAAUAUAAAUCUCACACCCAUAGCUGUGUCUUAUUGUGUCAACAUGAGUAUUUGGCUGAAAUUAAUGUGUCCAUAUAUCACAAGUUCCAAGGUUGCCUUUACAGCUACGGGGAAGAGGGUUUUUCAAGUAGAGGAUGCCUGUGGUGGAUUUUUAGUGAUGGAUGAAGAUACAUAGAUGUGUCUAAAUUUGUCGUGGGUAGGAAUCCUAGUAAAAUACAAUGGCAUGGAGGUGCUAUGAAGGCUAUAGGUGGUCAUGGGUUCCACGUCCUUUUCUAAUCCUUUAUGGUGGGCAAACUCGAAGUGGUUCUCUCCAUUGAAGGCUGUGGAAACAGUGAGAUCCCCUUUGGAUCCAUUCCAUUAAGAGAAAGGAAGUCUUGAGGUUGAAGAAGAGGCUAAUUCACAUGCCUUGAUGUGUGUAGGGGAAGUGGAUGGCUCAAGAGCAUGUGUGGCUAACUCGGAGAUGUUCAGUAAGAUUGAGCUUUCUUUGAGCUUCUGAUGGUGGGUGGGACUGAACAAUUGCUCAUUAGGUCUCUAAAUGAGUUGGUAGGAGGGUGCAAAAGUAAGGUAGGUGCUAUGCCCAAUUUGGCAGAUGUGCUGGUAAAGUUGGUCUAUUGGGCUUGUAAAGGAAAAUCUCUGGCUCACAUCUGAGUUCCUUUGCCAAUGAUUCUCAAGGAUGGGCAGGCAAUAUAAUUCCUAGAUAACUCCCUUGGACUUCAUCUAAGUUCAAAGGUUAUUAAGGAAGGAUUGAGGGAUGCCCAUUCAGGGGCCCUAACAGUCCAGCAAUCCAUGGGGGAUGGUUUUGGUGCAUGGGGGUGGGGAAGGGAAAUAGAUGGUCUAUCUUAGAGCUUUCCUCCUCACAUAACACACACACACAUAUAUUUGUGGUUUUGAAGUGGAGGUUUUAGUAGAAGCCUAUGCAAAUGAGAUUAUGAGGGUUCUUUGAGACAUUAAGGCAAAAAAGGGUUUUAAUAGCUCAAUUAGUUUAAGAAAGAAGGGAGCUAGAAUCAGAUCUAGGAAGGAAAGGGAGCUUUGAAAAUUAUUCAGCUUUGUUAAUUAUGAUGGGUAAGACAGGAAAACAAGUUGAGGAAGCAAUUGAUAGUUGGCCCAUAAAAAAGGUUUACACAUGAAGUUGUGAAUUCUUACUUGGAAUGUGAGGGGGCUGUGUCAUCUGAGUAAAAAGAAGGUGAUCAAAUCCAUUAUGUGUUUAUAUAAAUCAGAUUUAGUUUGCCUACAGAAAAUCAAAAUCAGUUCUAUGACUAUUGAGAUUAUUAGAAGCUUGGGUGUGGACUGGAGCUUGAAAUGGACUUCUCUUGAUGCUAAGGGAUCAGCAGGGGGGAUUUCUCUCUUCUGAGAUUCCAAAGUUAUAGAGUGCAUGGGUGCAGAGGCAGGGGGAAACUUCUUAUCUUACUAGUUUAAAAGUUGUGAUGAUGGAUUGAUUUGGAUUUUCUCUGGGAUUUAUGGUCCUUUGUGUGGGAGGGAGAGUAAAGAGGUGUGGGAGGAGUUGAGCUCCAUUAGAGGUAUGUGAGAAGAACCCUGAUGAUUUCCCAUUUGAGAAGAGAGAUUGCAGGCAAAUUUAUCAACCAUGAAGGCUUUUUUUUAUUUCAUUGAGGAGUUUGAAUUGAUGGCUCUUGCCAUCAUGUAGAGGGUUUUAUUUAUGACUUAAGGGGAUAAAAACAUGAAGCUCUUCCAUCGGAUGACCAAUGCCUACAAGAGAGCCAUUCUUAUAAAGCUUAAAGCAAAUGAGAUCUGGCUUUUAGAGGAGGUAGAGUUAAAGAGAGGUAUAAUAGGGUGCAAUUAAUAAGGAAGAAGGCUCACUGGGUAGGUGAAUGUUCUUUGAGAGAGGCAUUCCCUCAUCUGUUCAGGAUUGCCUCCGAUGGGAAGGCAGCAAUAGUUGACUUAUGGGUGGCAAGGGAGGAAGAAGGCUCUUGGUCCCUCCUGUUCAGAAGACAUUUUCAAGACUGGGAGUUGGGGAUUGUGAUGCAAUUUAUGGAGCUCACAUAAGGUGAGAGUGCUAGCAUCAGGGGAGGAUAGUUUACUUUGGAGGCAGGGGAAGAAGAGGACUUUCUAGGUGAAUCUUUCUAUAAAUCUUUACAUGAUGAGAAUCAAGCCCUGUUUCCGGCCAAGAAAUUUCGGGCACUUCUGUCCCUUUGAGAAUUUGUUUUUCUUUCUUGGAAGGUUGCAUGGGGGAGAGAUCCUAACCAUUGAUGUUCUUAUGAGGGGAGGAUGGUCGACGACCACCAAUAAAUGCAACUUUUGUAAGAUAAGUGAGGAAUCAACAAACCUCACUCUUAUGCAUAGUGAUAGAACCAGAAAGAUGUGGGAAAGCUUGUUAGCAAUCUUAGCGGCUAUAGUGGGUAUUUCCAGAUUCUGUGAAAGAGGUGCAAGGCAUGGACAAAAGAUGGAGGAUAUUGUAGGGGAUUGGAUGGUCUAGAUCCCUGUUAAGGAGGGAAUGUGCUUCUUUGUUGGAUUUGAUGAUUUAGAUUGUGGAUAGUGGUCUUUUGUUGUUCUUGUUUUUAGUGCCACUUUUGUUUUGUAUUGAUGGCUUCUCUUAAAUACUCCCUAUUUACAUAGGCUGAAACCCCUUACUUGAUUGACUCUUUUUAACAUAUCUUUUUGUUUGUCUAUCAAAAAAAGCUAUGGGAGGACUGCUUCACUAUAUACAAUUUGGUGUAUUUGGAAGGAAUGAAAUAGGUGUGUUAUUGAGGGGUUGGAGAUUUUGGGUUUGAAUUUGGAACACACCAUUUUCAGUUGUUGGUGUGGAAUUGGAGUUUGUCUUGAUUAACUUUGUUGAUAGUUAAGAUACUGCCUGUGGGGUUAGCUUGUCCUUGUAGAGUUGGGCUCCUCCUCCUCCUUCUUAUCCUUGUAGAGUUAGGCUUGUACUUGUUUUGCUUUGUUUUGUUUUGUUUUGGUUUUUUUCUGCCCCCUUCUUAGUGCAUUGAUAUUUAUAUUUUUACCUGUUAAGAAAAGACAUUUGAGGUGCAAUGAUGUGUUAGAAGGGAAUGCCUGUCUUGUGCUUGUUCAAACAUCUUAGGGAUCAUUUGUAUUUUUAUUUUAUUUUUUGUGGGUUUUCAGAAGGUAGUAUAGAAUUGAUGAAAUGGCAAAAAAGCGAGUUUUUGCACAAUGUUAAGGAAAGGUGCUAUUGUACUUGGUGUUUGAGGGCAAAACUUUAAUGUGGUCUGGUUUCCUUUUGGAGAAAGGGGUGACACAUUAUUUUUUUUGGAUAAAUAAAAAGAUUGUAUUAAAAACCACCGAAGCAGUGGCUAAAAGUACAAGAAGGAGAAAAGAAAAAGAAAAACGCCCCACGCUCCCUAGCAGAAUGCCAAGGAUCGAAGAGCAUCCCUACCCACACCCUUAACGGGAAGCCACCCACCCAAUAAAAUCAACUAAGGUCGAGGGACCAUCUUUUAUAGAUCUCUUCGUCUCCGACCAAAGAAAAUAAACAAAAGAAGCCUUAAGUCUUUGAAUUGACAGCUCCUCUUCCUCAAAAGCAACUUUGUUCCUUGUAUUCCUAACCGUCCAAAAAAGGCACAAAGGACUUGCUUUCCAAACACCCUUCCUCUUCUUUCCCACAAAAGACCCAUUCCACCCCGAAAGCGUGUCCUUAACCUUGGCUGGCAGCACCCACUGCACCCCGAACAUUGAGAAAAGCAGCACCCAAAGAGUUCUUGCCUUAUCACAAUGGAGAAGAAUGUGAUCAAUUGAUUCCCCAUGCCUUUGACAAAGGUAACAUCUGUUCGCUAGAGCCCAACCUCUCCUUUGAAGCUGAUCCAAGGUGAGAGCCUUUCCCCACGUUGCUUCCCACCCAAAAAAACUCACUCUAGGCUGCACCAUAACUUUCCAAAUAGCCGACGAAGGGAAGGAGAUUGGAUGGCCUGAUACAAGGGGUUGCACAUUAUUAAGGCUCACAAUGAGGUGGAAGGCCCCUGCCUAAAAGUUUCAAUUUUACUUGGUAUAAUAAUUAGGAAUGUUCUCUGAUAUUGAGAUUGGAUGUCUUAGUUGGUUGGCAAGAGUACAUUUAUAGAGGUGAUUUAGAGUCGUUUUCUAUGUCUACAUAUAAUAAUGUGUGUAUUGUGCUAGAUUCAAGUGGCUCUUGGAAAGGGAAAAAUACAUUAAAUAUGAAAUUUGUGAUUAGAGGCGUGUUUUGGGGAGAAAGUAAGGGUGGUGGAAAGUUAUUUGGUGGUGAGCCUUGGGAAGGCAAGGGUGCUAAAUGAGAUCAAGAGAUUCGAUGAGAAAGGAAAUAGGGAUAGGCUAUUAGGUGGAGCAAGGUUGAGAAGGUGUGAGGCAAACUUGUGUUAAGGGAUCUCAAGCAGUAGAUUAAUCAGUGGCAAAAGUCUAUGGUGUUGUGCUUAGAAGAGCGUGACAACUACUCUUAGUCUUUCAUAGGGUUGUUGAUAAUCAUUCAUAUCAUUAAUUCUGUGAGUUUGCAAGCAGAUGGGGACAACUUAUGGUGGAGGGAGAAUGGAAAGUGAGUUUCAAGGUGAAAUCUUUUUAGUACUGCUUAUGUGUUGAAGAUAUGAUUUGUUCCUUGUUAAUGAGGUUUGAGGAACUUAUGCUUCUAUGAGAAAAAUUUGUUUUUCUUUGUCGGAGAUGUUGUGGGUGAAAUCUUAAAAUGACCUCCUUAUGAGGAGAAGAUGGUUGAUGGUGAACAAAUUCAGCCCCCUUGCAAAGCUAGUGAAGAAUCAAUAAAUCACAUUUUGAUUCAUUGCAAUUGGAUCAACAGCUGAAAAUCUUAAAAUGACCUUCUUAUGAGGUUAAGGAUGGUUGAUGGUGAACAAAUUCAGCCCUUGCAAAUCUAGUGAGGAAUCAAUAAAUCACAUUUUGAUUCAUUGCAAUAGGACCAACAGCUGUGGGAGUUGUUGAAUCUCUAUGGGCAGUAGUGGGUUUUUCCAAAGUCAGCCUAGGGAACUUCUGUUGUAAUGGAAGCUACAAGGGUUGGAUGAGCAGCCGAAGAAGACGAGGAUAAUGGUCCUCCUCUGCCUAUAUUUGGUGCAUUUAGAGAAAACACAACAAUCAAACUUUUAACAAAAAAGAAUAUUGAGAUAAAAAAUUGGAGACCCUCAUUAAGCCCUGAAAUGAUCUAGGGUUUCACUUGGAUUGGCUAAUUGUAUACUGUUAAGACAUUAGAUGGUCUAAACUAUGAACAAAAGGUUAUAAAUAUACUGUUUUUCUAGAAGGGUGUGUGUCUUAUUCCUUUUUCGUGCCUCUCAUAUACCCCUCUUGUGUACAUAUAGGGUGCACCCCAUUUUGCUUGGUGCAAAUACAAAUUUUUAGGGUCCAUUCAUUUCAUAUUAAGUACUAGAGGAGGGAAUCCUAAAUUUUCUUAUUUGGUUUACUGUGGAAAUGUGAAGGGAAGUCAAAUAUAGUAAAAGUUGUACAUUUUCAAAUUCUUCAUUCUUCAUAUAAAAGAGGAAAAAAAAAAAAAAAGAGAAGCAUGAGAAUAAAUUUAUUUGAGAUCUAUUAAAAAAGAAGUGAGAAUAAAUUUAUUUGAGUCUGAACCUUUUUUUUUUUUAUUAUUCUUCUUCACUUUACUCGGUUCCAUUUCCCCCUUGAUUUUCUUCUCUUUUAUACUUUCCCUCAAAGUUUCAAAGGAUCCAAAAGGACACUAGUAAUGUUUCUUCUUAGGAGAGGGGAUGUUGAGUUACAGACUUCAUACCUAUAAGUUUGGGAAAGUGUGCAAGUUAAAUAUGGUUUGACAACACUGCAGACGAAGUAUAACCAUCCUGUUUGGUCUCUGAAAGCAUUAUGUGAAUAUGUUAUGCAAGUUAGGUUCUGUCCUUUCGUCAAAACUGCAGACUAAUGGGGCUUCUCAAGUCAGGAUUUCAAUGUCUCUUUAGUUUUUAGUACUCUGAUGUUCAUGCUCAAAUGAAAAGAACAGAAGUUCUGGAAAAUGCUCAACUUUUUAAUGUGAAUAUGAUCAUUUGUAUUCUGCCAGGUUUUCUAAACCAUAUUUUCAUCAAAUCUUCUCAUUUUUUAGUUGGUCUUGUAUUAUGUUGGGACCAAAAAACUUUGUGCAUAGACAUCAUGGUUGAUGUGGUUACUCUGUUUCAUUUUUGACUUCCUUCUAAAUUCACUUUUAUUUUUCCCAGACAUGCCAACCCUCAAUUGGGAUGUUUUGGUUCACCCAUUUGCAUACUGUAUGGCAUGGUUUUGGAAUGUCUUGCGUUCUUUUAAAUCGAAGAUCUGCAUUCUGUUCCUUUAUGAGCUGAUUUUCCUCAAUAUUACGUCUGUUCAGGAGAUAAUUAAUUAUCUGGAAAAGGCUUUUUGUGUUGGUUAUACUGCUAGUCAAGGUGAUAAUGUAAGCACAGCGCAGCAACAAUCUUCAAAUCUAGUAGUAAAAUCCUCUUCUAUCCCUAGCAAUUCAACGGUCCCAGAUGCUUCUAAUUCUGAUUCAGUGGCCAGUCUAAACUCCUCAGAAAAUCCUUUAUCAAGAACUUUAUCAGAGGAGACACUCGAUUAUGAAACCAUGUUUUCAGCUCUGGACAUUGGUGGACAGAACCUAACCAGACCGGCUGGUCUUCCAUCUUUAAAUGAUCUUUCUAGGGCCCCUGCAGAUCGAUCUAUUCCUACCGUGGACCUGAAGCUCAAGUUGCAGCUUUAUAAGGUUCGAAUUCUGCUCCUCACUAGGAACUUGAAGGCUGCCAAGCGUGAAGUUAAGCAGGCUAUGAACAUUGCACGUGGGAGAGAUUCCUCCAUGGCUCUCCUCUUGAAAUCUGAGCUUGAAUAUGCUCGUGGUAACCACCGUAAAGCAAUCAAACUCUUGAUGGCUUCAAGUAAUCAGUCAGAAAUGGGGAUUUCUAGCAUUUUUAACAACAAUCUUGGGUGCAUCCAUUAUCAACUUGGAAAACACCAUACAUCAACUAUAUUUUUUUCCAAGGCACUGAGUGGUAGUUCUUCUCUUAAGAAGGAAAAGACUCCAAAACUCUCAUCCUUCUCGCAGGAUAAAUCUCUUCUCAUUAUAUAUAACUGUGGAGUGCAGUACUUGGCCUGUGGGAAACCAAUACUUGCUGCUCGCUGCUUCCAGAAGGCUAGUUUGGUUUUCUAUAAUUCGCCUCUAUUGUGGCUUCGAAUUGCUGAAUGCUGUCUGAUGGCACUAGAGAAGGGAGUCCUUGAAUCCAGUGGGUCUCCAUCUGAUAGAUCGGAAGUUAGAAUUCAUGUUAUUGGCAAGGGAAAAUGGAGACAACUUGUAUUAGAAAAUGGAAUUUCAAGGAAUGGGCAUGCAAAUUCUGUUGAAAAGGGUGAUUGGUUAUUGGGUGAUGAUAGGCAGCCUAAACUCUCGAUGUCCCUCGCCCGACAGUGUCUCUUAAAUGCCUUGCACUUAUUGGACUGUUCUGCUUCAAAGUUUGCAAAAUUUGGGUUGUCUUCAGAGUCAACACUACAGGAAAAUGAAUCAAGUGAGGUUGUAUCUGCCAAGAACUCAAACCACAAGAACUUAGCUGGCAGUGAUUCCAAGGCAUCCAAUAUAACAGUGGGCUUAGGUCAGGUUAAUGCAAAUGGGGAUGCAAAAGAACAGAAGGGAGGGCCUAGUCUUACCAUCUUACAAAGCUCCAUCGCAGUAUAUGAAGAUAUUUGUAGAAGAGAGAAUCAGAUGAUCAAGCAAGCCACUCUUGCUAAUUUGGCAUAUGUAGAGUUGGAACUGCAAAAUCCCUUGAAGGCCCUGUCAACUGCCUGGUCUCUUUUGAAACUUCCUGAUUGUUCCAGAAUAUUCACAUUUUUGGGUCAUGUGUAUGCAGCCGAGGCUCUCUGCUUGCUAAAUCGGCCAAAGGAAGCUUCUGAUCAUUUGUCAACCUAUUUGUCUGGAGGAAACAAUGUUGAAUUGCCCUACAGUGAAGAAGACCGUGAACAAUGGCGAGCUGAGAAAACAAUGGAUUGUGAGGAAGUAAAUGGGGGUUCAUUGACUGGAAAGAACCCUUCUCUUGAGGACUUACAAGGGAUUACGUUCCUUAAGCCAGAAGAAGCUCGUGGGACCCUUUAUGCUAAUCUUGCCACCAUGUCUGCAAUGCAAGGAGAAUUGGAGCAAGCUCGCCAGUUUGUGAAGCAAGCAUUAUCCAUAAUACCCAAUAGUUCUGAAGUCAUUCUUACUGCAGUUUACGUGGAUCUUGUGCACGGGAAGACACAAGAAGCUCUUGCCAAGUUGAAACAGUGUAGUCACGUUAGGUUCCUUGCCAGCAGCUCACAAUUGACAUGUUCUUCUUGAUGGUUGUAUCAAUGGCUUUUGGGUUGGUUGUGCCCUACCCCACCAACAAGUUCAAGUUGCCGGGCAGAUUCAGCAAUCCUUUUUAAGAGGAUUUGUAACAUAUAUAUAGUUCAAUUCAGAGAAUAAAUUUUUUCUUUUCUUUUCUUUUCUUUUUCUUUUUCUUUUUUUUUGUUCCUGUUUUUUCCUCUUUUAAUAUCCAAAAAUGUAGGGUUCGAUAAUCGGCGGUGUGGCUGAGAUUAUUUUGGUUAGUUAAGUGCAGGUGGCCCACCUUUCAGAUUUGAGGUGUAGUUCUGAUUCAGAUUAUUGUGUUUUAGUGGCUAAUCCAGUUGGUAUUCAAGAAUUAGAGAGAUCAUGAGCUCGUCUCAAAAAAGUGAUUGUUCCGGACAUUCUGUAUGCGAAUGCAAAGUCAUUUUUCAGUUGAAGGCCUCUUUACCUCUUUACUCAUCUCAUUUCCUUAUCUCUCGUAUGUUUAGUUUGUUUGUUUGUUUUGCCGCACCUCCCCUUCCACUAACCUGUAAAAUGGAUGCAACUCUCUUCUCUACUAUGAUCUGAAAGCUACCACUUCCUUCUCCAAGGUUGAAGGUUGUAGAUUUAGCUGGGGUCAGGUGUGGAUGUGUGGUGGGCAGUAAGUAGUUAGUUGCCCUUUUAGGGGCGUUACAUGUGUGAUUGUGGUGUGGACCACUCCAGAUAUGUCCAGGUUUCUUUGAAAAAUCAUAUCAUGAAUAUAUGAUGCAAAUGCAACACCGUGUGAAUGGGGGGCAGUGCCAGUGCUAGCUGGAGUUGAUUAAGAACCCAACUCACUCACUACCUUCCUAUUUCAUAUGCCACAUGCUCCAUGCUCCUGGGCCUCCUUCCAUGUCCUUAUGAUCUGUCUCACAUGUGUUAAAUAUUAAGGCUUGUUUAAAUCAUCUUCACAGAAUUCUAAAAUGAUAUAAAAGAUGCCAGUCUAGACUGAAACUCUGAUACACUCCAAUUCUCUAACCCCAUAAUAAAUGGUGGGGGGGUGCUUGUGUGAGCCCUGGAAGGAUUAUAUACUGUUUCAUUCUGUUGGUCUGUCUGUUGUACUAGAGCCUUGUUAAAGCUUUCAAGGAAUGAGAAACCACAUUUUUAGCUGCCUAUUUUCUAGAUUCCCCUUUGGUCCCCAUUCCUUUUAAGUUUUAACUAAUAUUUUCCACCAUUCUCCAUUUGGCCCCUAAGUUAAACAACAGCAUUCAUUUGCAUUAUUAUUUAAAACACUUAACUUAUUUGUUGUCAUCAUCUCUUACAUUUAAGAACUGAUCAGUAUCCCAACUGAACUUUGUAGUGUGCCAUUUUCCUUACCUACCAAAUGUUCUUUACAUUUGGAGGGUAUUAUUUCAAACAAGUUAAUCCAAUCCACUUGUUUAUUAAUGUUCUUUAGUCAUUACACAUAGGGUUAGGUAAAGAUGGGAGAUGGGAGCUUAGAAUUUGUCAUUUCAUUUUAGACAUAUGGAACCCAGUGAGAAAGACAUAGCUAACUCCGCACAUUUCUUUCCUUUCUAUGAUUGAAAUGUCAUUCAUCUUGAAAACAUCCCACCACUUGGAGGGGCUUAUUCAAGAGUAUCUUAUCAUGUGCUUAUAAUUCACACUAACUUCCAUUUUUUAUGAUGGGAUUCCUUCAUCUCUGCACCUUAACUUCAGCUAGAUCCAAUAAUUUACAUUUAACCACACAAAUGGGAAAGAAAUGGACUUUGGGAUCAUGGAAAAUCAAAGGAACAGUGAUUAUUCUUGGAUAUAUAUGGUUUCAACAUGCAUGUUAGGUUUGCUGAGAAUUUGGCCUUAUUCCAUUUUCCAUAGUUGUUUGGCGUCUGCAAUAUCAUAUCAGUAAAUGAUUCAAGACCCAUGAAGACAAGCUUUUAAAUGCUUUUAGCUUGAUGUUUUAGUAAUUUACCUCAAGUUGGUAAGAGCACUUAGAUUUCCAAAUUUUUGUCUCUUUCAUCAUAUAGUAUUAAACUAUUAAUUAACUCAAGCUCUACAUUACCCACCCUUUUUCUCAUUCAAUAAAAGUUAUGAAUCUCCUACCUCUACAUGUAUUAAAUACAAUCUUAACCAAUCUUUCUUGGGGUUCCUGCCUUAUCUUUUAAAUUUUUAAUAGACUGCCUAUAUGAUAUUUUCCCAGAGGACACGAAAAUAUAUGGGAGGAAUCUGUGGAUGUCAAACAGCAGGAACCCCAUCAACAGACACCACAUGUGUGGAUAGGGAAGAGACAAACAAAGUUCAUGUGCCUUGGGUAUAGAUGGUCCCUACCCCAACCAUACGCCAUUUCUCAGUCAUAUAUGUGCACCUUCCCUUACCUCUCCAUUUUUUAUCCCUGGGUUUUUCUUUUUCUUUCUUUCUUUUUUUUUUUCCACCAUAAGAGCUUGAAAAAGACAUGGGUAUCAAUCCCAAAAUUUACCUCCAACAAUGAGAAUAUCUCCUUCUGGUAAGUGGAAAUUUUGGGAAAGUAAUGUGGAUUCUUCAUCAAAUCACAGAGGCAUGGAAUUGUAAUGGUAUGUGAGUUAAAAUGUUGGUAAAGAAAACAAAAUCAAAAUCACCUUCCUGAGGGUCCCAUGAUCAUAUUGCCCAUAAGCCCCUUGAUUUGACAUUGGCCUGGUGAUUCUUGUCCUAGGUGGAAGUGGAACCCAUCAUACAAUCCCCCCACUACUCACACAUUGAUUGCAGCAUUUCUUCAAUAAUCUAUAUUUAAUCUUCACGGGUAUAUCAACUAUCAACUUUUUUCCAUCAUGAGGCAUUGAACAUGGGGUGCUUUGGAUUAUGCUUUCGGCCUCCCCCUUUUUUUUUUUUUUGAGGCCAUGGCCUAACUAAUUUAAACUAAUCACUUUUUAUAUGACGUGACAACAAUUUUACUUUCUAGUAUGAUUCUUCAAAAAAAAAAUGAAUAUUAAUUGUUUGUUUGUAUAGAUUUUCUGUUUUUUUAUUUUAAAAUAAAAAAAUACCAACAACUUUUACAUAAAAAAUAAAAAAAUUUAGACACUUACUAAAAAUAUUAAAGAUUUUAAAAAUUAUUUAAACAAAAUAGAGAUAUCAAUAUUAUUAUUAUCAUUUUUUGUGAAAAUAUUAUACUUUUAUAUAUAUAAAAAAAUAUUUUAAAAAUAAAAAGCAUGCAUGAAGUGUACAUAUCUAAAAUGAGCAUAAGCUAUCAAAUUUUCAAUCUUAGAUCAUAAAUUAAUGAAAAAAAAUUUGGUUCUUGUUUGGAAGGAAAUAAAAGGAAAUCAAAAUUUAGGAACUUGUCUUGAAAAAGAAUGCUAAAGGAGUGUGGACCAUUGAAGUUAUGCAAUGAAACAAGAGCCUAGGGUUUAUAUGACCCCAAUUCAGUAUCACAUUCUUCAUGGAUUGGAGACUCGGGACAUUGCCAGUUGAAUGGUUUAAAAUGAGAUUAAUUAGCGUGGAGUAAUACACUUUAGGCUGGUGCUUUAUGUUCAUGUUAGGUUUUUGAAAAGAUUAACCAAAAUGUUUUUUUUUUUCCAUCAAAAUUUAGUGCAUAAAUGCCCUUGAAUCUAUUGGAAAAACAGUUCUCAAAAUAUGUAUUUUUCUCUAGUAAAUCGUUUAGUUUAAAUUGGGUGGUAAAUUUUCUCCCUCCCUCCCUCCCUCUCUCUCUCUCUCUCUCUCUCUCUCUCUCUCUCUCUCUCUCUCUCUCUCUUUCAGUCUCUCUCCAGUAAAAGUUACUAUGCUCAAUAUAUUGAAAUCUUCCAUCAGUGACAGUACUUCUUGUGAAGAUAACCUUUUCAUUGGAAGGUGGGGAGUGCCCCUAGGAAGUUCAACUGUUCAAGACAAGAAUUUCUGUUUCCUUCCACCAUUUAAUAGCUAGGGUUUGCUUCACUUUUCUCUUUUAAGAGCCAUAGCUUUUAAGUAUCAUCAUACAGAGAAGACCAAGACACUCCCAUGUGAGGAAUCUUAGAAAUCAAAGGUUUUUUCCUAAUGCUUUCACAUUGAGUUGGUAAGAAGGACAUGAAUCACAUAGAUUGCAUGAAAGUGGGAAUCCAAUUAAAAAAUUACAAAAAGAAAAAGCAUCCUUGUCUUAGACAAAACACACAUUGCGACAAUCUCAUAAAAACAAAUGGUGUACAGUAGAGCCAAACAUUAGCUAACAGUACCAAUCAAGAAGAGAAAAAGGAGUAAAGGAAGAGAGAAAGAGAAAGAAGAUAGAAAGAGGAAGAGAGAGAGUUGAGUGAAGGAUGAUGGUUGACAUCCUCUCAUGUCCACUUUUCCAUGCAUCCAUCAGUCUAGCAACCUGCAAAUCCAUACACCAAGAAAUCUAAUCAGCAAAGACUUUCUACCAUCUAUAAUUCAAAUGAAUUGCAUUCAAAGAGAAAAGAAAGAAAGAUGAACAAAAGUACUGAAUGCAAUUUGUUGUUUGUGAGGGAAGGAGCUUUUAGUUAGUGGAAAAAAGAUGAGAUGAUGCUACAUUUUUGGGCAGCUUUGCCAAUUUGAGGAACAGACCAAAUGUAAAAUCCUCUGAUUUUACAAAAAAUAAAAAAUGAAAAUUCUUCUACAUGUCAAUAAAUCAAUUGGACAAGAAAUUCAGAAAAAUGAAACAUAAAAUUAAUACUCAUAUUUUAUGAUCAAUAACAUGAACAAAAAGAAAAGAUGGUCCUUUCAAAGAAAUCUAUCUUGCAGCAUCAAUUAAGAUAAUAAAAAAUAAUGUGAAUUUAGCUUAAAAUCAUAUUUUGAAAAAAGACAUUUCAUUUUCAGAUGUGAAAUCCCCUUACUAUGACUUUGAAGCAUAAAGGGUUAAAGCUAAAUUAUAUGGACAAUUGCAGUGACCACUAGGACUAAAAGCUAAAAAACACAGAGAAUGCUUGAAAAUUAGGUUUAGGGUUUUGAGACAGUGAUGCAGUGCUACUUAACUUUGAUCUAAACAGUGCAGGUGUAACCAGGAGGGGGUGUCUUUCCACAAGUGAUAAGGAGUUGAAGAGCAAGUGGGACAUAGAUGUUAAGGUUGAGUAGCUUGAUCUUGAGAGUAGUGCACAAGCAGACAGCAGCUUCCAGCUCAACGAGACCUGAAAGAACCGGACAGCACUCAUUGGCGACAGGGUCUCCAAGACCAAUGUGCACCAAUCCGCCAAGAAGAUCCACACAAGCACCCAGCUUCAAUGUGUCAAUUGGGCACGUCGCUGAGGCAGGUGGCGGUGGGCAAGGCGUUCCCACCGGUGGUUUAUUCACUGGAGGAGUCACGACCGGAGGGACGGUGAUCGGUGGCUUAAUAAUGGGAGGGACUGUGAUGGGAGGGACUGUAACGGGAGGUUUAACAAUGGGAGGGACAGUGAUGGGAGGGACUGUAAUGGGAGGUUUAACAAUGGGAGGAACAGUGAUGGGAGGGACUGUAAUGGGAGGUUUAACAAUGGGAGGGACAGUGAUGGGAGGGACUGUAAUGGGAGGUUUAACAAUGGGAGGGACAACCGGUGGCAGGGUGAUAGGAGGCUUAACAAUGGGAGGGACAACCGGUGGCACGGUGAUAGGAGGCUUAACAAUGGGAGGACGAGUAAUGGGGGGCUUUCCUUUGGGUGGCUUGUGGUGGGAAGGGGGCUUGUGGUGGAAAGGGGGCUUGUGCUGGGGAGGGGGCUUGGAACAAGGGGCACAGCCAAGAAUAGGGGUGGCUGAGGAGAUGAAGAGCGUGAAAAUGAGGAACAGAGCUGAAAGCUUGGAGGAGUCCAUGAUGGUGUUUAGGACUUGGUAAAAUUUGGGAAGAUGGGUGAGUAGUUAUAUAGAGUGAGUGAGGAGUGCAAAAAUACAAAGCCCCUACAAUCACUUCACGUGAACAUGGGCUACCCUCAAAAGGCAGCUGUCAAACCUUGCUAGUUGGCAACUACCAUACAAAUACUCUAAUCCAUCUCAUUUUAUUGUUAUACUCAUCUUCUUAUCACUAUGACCAUUAUCUUUGCUGCAGCACCUAGCUAACUUUUU